GUAGGGAAUCUUGCGCAAUGGGCGAAAGCCUGACGCAGCCAUGCCGCGUGAAUGAUGAAGGUCUUAGGAUUGUAAAAUUCUUUCACCGGGGACGAUAAUGACGGUACCCGGAGAAGAAGCCCCGGCUAACUUCGUGCCAGCAGCCGCGGUAAUACGAAGGGGGCUAGCGUUGCUCGGAAUUACUGGGCGUAAAGGGAGCUUAGGCGGAUAGUUUAGUCAGAGGUGAAAGCCCAGGGCUCAACCUUGGAAUUGCCUUUGAUACUGGCUAUCAUGAGUAUGGAAGAGGUAUGUGGAACUCCGAGUGUAGAGGUGAAAUUCGUAGAUAUUCGGAAGAACACCAGUGGCGAAGGCGACAUACUGGUCCAUUACUGACGCUGAGGCUCGAAAGCGUGGGGAGCAAACAGGAUUAGAAACCCUAGUAGUCC
rnacentral:rRNA from 1 species